rnacentral:tRNA from 1 species
GGUGUCAUGGCUCAGCGGUAGAGCACUUGCCUAGCAUGUGUGAGGCACUGGGUUCGAUUCUCAGCACCA